GACGAACGCUGGCGGCGUGCUUAACACAUGCAAGUCGAACGGAAAGGCCCUGCUUUUGUGGGGUGCUCGUGUGGCGAACGGGUGAGUAACACGUGAGUAACCUGCCCUUGUCUUUGUGAUAUCUUCAGGAAACUGGGGCUAAUACCGGAUAGGAGCUCCUGCUGCAUGGUGGUGGUUGGAAAGUUUCGGCGGUUGGGGAUGGACUCGCGGCUUCUCCGCUUGUUUGUGGGGUAGUGGCUUACCAAGGCUUUGACGGGUAGCCGGCCUGAGAGGGUGGCCGGCCACAUGAGGACUGAGAGACGGCCCAGAAUCCUACGGGAGGCAGUAGGGGGGAAUAUUGCAGAAUGGGCGGAAGCCUGAUGCAGAAGCGCCGCGUGCGGGAUGACGGCCUUCGGGUUAUAAACAGCUUUCGCAUGUGACGAAGAGUGAGUGACGGUAAUGGGUAAAGAAGCACCGGCUAACUACGUG
rnacentral:rRNA from 1 species